rnacentral:rRNA from 1 species
GAUGAACGCUGGCGGCGUGCCUAAUACAUGCAAGUCGAGCGAACGGACGAGAAGCUUGCUUCUCUGAUGUUAGCGGCGGACGGGUGAGUAACACGUGGAUAACCUACCUAUAAGACUGGGAUAACUUCGGGAAACCGGAGCUAAUACCGGAUAAUAUUUUGAACCGCAUGGUUCAAAAGUGAAAGACGGUCUUGCUGUCACUUAUAGAUGGAUCCGCGCUGCAUUAGCUAGUUGGUAAGGUAACGGCUUACCAAGGCAACGAUGCAUAGCCGACCGGAGAGGGUGAGAGGCCAGACUGGAACUGAGACACGGUCCAGACUCCUACGGGAGGCAGCAGUAGGGAAUCUUCCGCAAUGGGCGAAAGCCUGACGGAGCAACGCCGCGUGAGUGAUGAAGGUCUUCGGAUCGUAAAACUCUGUUAUGAGGGAAGAACAUAUGUGUAAGUAACUGUGAACAUCUUGACGGUACCUAAUCAGAAAGCCACGGCUAACUACGUG